GGAUGUGGCGCAGUUGGUAGCGCACCUGCUUUGGGAGCAGGGGGUCGCAGGUUCAAAUCCUGUCAUCC
rnacentral:tRNA from 1 species